rnacentral:rRNA from 1 species
CUACGGGUUGCACCAGUGAGGAAUAUUGCACAAUGGGGGGAACCCUGAUGCAGCAACGCCGCGUGGAGGAUGACGCAUUUCGGUGUGUAAACCCCUUUUAUAUGUCAAGAAAAUGACGGUAGCAUAUGAAUAAGCGCCGGCUAACUCCGUGCCAGCAGCCGCGGUAAUACGGAGGGUGCAAGCGUUACUCGGAAUCACUGGGCGUAAAGGACGCGUAGGCGGGUUGGAAAGUCAGGUGUGAAAUCCUACAGCUUAACUGUAGAACUGCACUUGAAACUUCUAAUCUAGAGUAUGGGAGGGGGAGAUGGAAUUAGUGGUGUAGGGGUAAAAUCCGUAGAUAUCACUAGGAAUACCUAAAGCGAAGGCGAUCUCCUGGAACAUUACUGACGCUAAGGCGUGAAAGCGUGGGGAGCAAACAGGAUUAGAUACCCCGGUAGUC